CGGAGCACGCCGAGGCCCCGAGAACACCCGCAGCAGGUGGGGGCCGCAGGAUCCAGCCGAAGUACGAUGCUAUCCUUGAGGCUCCACCCUGGCAUGAGGUUGUGAUGCUACGGCAGUCCUUCUCGGAACCCAACCACCAUCCUUAUAAGGAAGUCCAGGCUUAGGCCACUCAAUAAUGUGGAGCCAUGGAAGAAAGACCCUGAGGAUGAGAGACCAUUUCAGGUAUUGUCCAGCCUUGGCCAUGUUCCUGCAUGAAUCCAGUUGCUCAAUGAUAGCCCAGCCGAACCACCCAGCUCCCUGUGAAGUCUAUCAGCCAAUCUUAUCAGGUCUGCAAAAUAGCAGCAUGUAACCAGGAUCUGAACAGUUCUCACCAACUUCACAGCUUCCUCUGG
ensembl:lncRNA